GACGAACGCUGGCGGCGUGCUUAACACAUGCAAGUCGAACGGAAAGGCCCUGCUUGCAGGGUGCUCGAGUGGCGAACGGGUGAGUAACACGUGGGUGAUCUGCCCCUUACUUUGGGAUAAGCCUGGGAAACUGGGUCUAAUACUGGAUAGGACCAUGCUGUAGGUGGUGUGGUGGAAAGAUUAGUUUCGGUAAGGGAUGAGCUCGCGGCCUAUCAGCUUGUUGGUGGGGUAAUGGCCUACCAAGGCGUCGCCGGGUAGCCGGCCUGAGAGGGUGGACGGCAACAUUGGGACUAAGAUACGGCCCAGACUCCUACGGGAGGCAGCAGUGGGGAGUAUUGCACAAUGGGCGCAAGCCUGAUGAAGCGACGCCGCGUGGGGGAUGACGGCCUUCGGGUUGUAAACUCCUUUCAGCCAUGACGAAGCCCUUGUGGUGACGGUAGUGGUAGAAGAAGCACCGGCUAACUACGUG
rnacentral:rRNA from 1 species